ACGCACGCUGGCGGCGUGCUUCACACCUGCAAGUCGCACGGAAAGGCCCUGCUUUUGUGGGGUGCUCGAGUGGCGAACGGGUGAGUAACACGUGAGUAACCUGCCCUUGACUUUGGGAUAACUUCAGGAAACUGGGGCUAAUACCGGAUAGGAGCUCCUGCUGCAUGGUGGGGGUUGGAAAGUUUCGGCGGUUGGGGAUGGACUCGCGGCUUAUCAGCUUGUUGGUGGGGUAGUGGCUUACCAAGGCUUUGACGGGUAGCCGGCCUGAGAGGGUGACCGGCCACAUUGGGACUGAGAUACGGCCCAGACUCCUACGGGAGGCAGCAGUGGGGAAUAUUGCACAAUGGGCGGAAGCCUGAUGCAGCAACGCCGCGUGCGGGAUGACGGCCUUCGGGUUGUAAACCGCUUUCGCCUGUGUCGAAGCGUGAGUGACGGUAAUGGGUAAAGAAGCACCGGCUAACUACGUG
rnacentral:rRNA from 1 species